rnacentral:rRNA from 1 species
GAACCUUACCUGGCCUUGACAUACUAAGAACUUUCCAGAGAUGGAUUGGUGCCUUCGGGAACUUAGAUACAGGUGCUGCAUGGCUGUCGUCAGCUCGUGUCGUGAGAUGUUGGGUUAAGUCCCGCAACGAGCGCAACCCUUUUCCUUAUUUGCCAGCGGGUUAAGCCGGGAACUUUAAGGAUACUGCCAGUGACAAACUGGAGGAAGGCGGGGACGACGUCAAGUCAUCGUGGCCCUUACGGCCAGGGCUACACACGUGCUACAAUGGUCGGUACAAAGGGUUGCUACCUCGCGAGAGGAUGCUAAUCUCAAAAAGCCGAUCGUAGUCCGGAUCGCAGUCUGCAACUCGACUGCGUGAAGUCGGAAUCGCUAGUAAUCGCGGAUCAGAAUGCCGCGGUGAAUACGUUCCCGGGCCUUGUACACACCGCCCGUCACACCAUGGGAGUUUGUUGCACCAGAAGUAGGUAGUCUAACCGCAAGGAGGACGCUUACCACGGUGUGGCCGAUGACUGGGGUGAAGUCGUAACAAGGUAAGCGUAGAUGA